UUUAAGUUUCCAAAUAUGUAAUUUGUAAGAUAUAUUUGAUGCUGACAGUAGGUUAGGUUUUAUUAGCGCUCUGGAUCAAAACCGCAAUGGUAUUUACUGCGCAAAAUUCUCAAUCAAUUCUCUUUUCUGACGCCUAUUUAUUUUGACUGUAGGAUCAAUUUCAUAAAUUUUGGUGGCCAAGGACUUUUAGAGCUUGCCCAAACAAAUGUUUCGAUAAACCAGGACAGACUGUCCUAUCCAGAACAAGGAGAGCCAGCCCCAAAUAAUGGGAAAUUGCUAGGACAAAGAAGAAAGGAUCAAUUUGAUUACUAUGCCUAACACACAUUGUGUUUAGGCUUCAUAAACAUCUUACAAUAACUUGUCUAUUCGACAAAGACAUCAACAAAACAUCUAUCGAUGUAUCUAACCCGACAAGAAAUUCUAAUAUGAUAAUAGACAACAUACAACAAAAGUUGUUUAAUCAUACAAACUAAUCAACUAUGUCUAGCUACGAAGCCUGCACGUGGUAUUUUAACUACCCAUAUUAUUUCAUAACACCAUAAUUUUUACACAUAAACAAUAGAUAAAAGAAAAGUGAAACAGUUGAAAAUAACAAAAAUUGUUUAGGAUAUUACACCUUUCAAUUGUUUUUAUUUACUUCGUGCAAAAAAGUUGCUAUACUGGCAACACUGCCCACACGCCGGUAUAAAACAGCGUCAUUCGGCGCGAUCUGUCAGUUCGCUUCGCGCUCGCGCACCGUUCGGGUCAACAACCUUUAGAGUCAAGCAAGAACAAUUAUUUAUUGUGUUGAUUUUUGUGGAAUCUUUACUAAAGUGAGCGUGAAACAUAGUGGAAGGACAAUAUACCAUUGUAACAAGCGGAUCUAAAGUGAACAUUGUAAAAUAAAUUCGAACAGUGUUAUUUUAUGUGCAGUUUGUGGUUGACUGCAAGACGAACUAAAACUAUUUGAGAACGAUGUAACAAAUAAACGGUAUGAAGUCAAUCUCUAAUGAAAAAGUCAUCGCAGUCAAAAACUGGUAACACAAACAACCUGUAACUGGUCAACUGAACAGCUCGUAGUGGAAAUAAUAAAGUCAUCACACUGAUGGAACAACCCGUGGUGGAAAUAACAUCGCAGCGGCAAACUGAGAAUAAAACUCGUGGCGGAAAUAAUAAAGUCAUCACACUGAUGAAUCAAUCUGUGGUGGAAACAACAUUGCAGCGGUGAUCUGAUUGCUGAUACUAGUGAAGGGAAUAAAGUCAUCACACUAAUGGAACAUGCCGUGGUGGAAUUAACAUCGCAGGAGUAAACUAGCAACACAACCAACCUGUAGUGGAAAUAAAGUCAUCACACUGAUGGAACAAUCCGUGGUGCAAAAUAACAUCUCAAUGGUCAACUGAGAACAGCUCGUGGUGGGAAUAAUAAAGUCAUCACACUGAUGGAACAAUCCGUGGUGCAAAAUAACAUCUCAAUGGUCAACUGAGAACAGCUCGUGGUGGGAAUAAUAGUCAUUACACUGGUGGAACACCCGUGGUGGAAAUAACAUCGCAGGAGUAAACUAGCAACACAAACAACCUGUAAUGGUAAUAAAGUCAUCACACUGAUGGAACAAUCCAUGGUGGAAUAACAUAGCGGUGGUCAACUAAUUGCUGAUACUAGUGAAGGGAAUAAAGUCAUCACACUGAUGAAUCAAUCUGUGGUAGAAUAACAUCGCAGUGGCUCAGGCAGUGGUCAUAAUAGCUCGUGGCGGAAAUAAUAAAGUCAUCACACUGAUGGAACAAUUGUGGUGGUCAACUGAGAACAACAUCGCAGUAACAUUGCAGUGGUCAACUGAGAACACGUGGCGGAAAUAAUAAAGUCAUCACAUUGAUGGAACAAACCGUGGCAAAAUAACUUUGGAGCGGCCAAUUGAGAAAAGCUCGCGGCAGAAAUAAUAAAGUCAUCACACUGGUGAAUCAAUCUGUGGUGGAAUAACAUCGCUGUGGUCAACUGACCACAGCUUGUGGCGGAAAUAAUAGAGUCAUCACACUGAUGGAAUAAUCCGUGGUGGAUAUAAAGCCAUCACAGUAAUAAACUGGCAACACAGAGAACUCAAACUGUAGUGAAAAUAAAGUCAUCACACAAGUGAAACAAUCGGUGGUGGAAAUACAGCUACAUUUAUUUCAACACCUACUUAUGAUUUAUGAGUCCUUGAUAAGAUACCAAGAUUUUACGACUGUGGAAAAUCUUGAAAUUAGGAAAAUCACGUAGCAUUAUAGAUCUAGUAAACUAGUAUUAAGCUGCUUGGAAAACAGAAAAUCAUCUAGCCUUAGUUUUAUUUUGGUACUCUUUCUUUGUAAAAUAUAAUGUAAUUAUUUUAAAUAUUUUUCUUAUGAAUUGUAAAUAGUUAAGAUUAUUGUGUAUGUUUUCCUUUUUUUAUUUUAAGUAUUGUAUUUAUGUAAUUUUUAUGUUUAUGCAUUGUAGAGUAAACUGUUUACUCAUAUCAGUGAACGGAAUAAAGUCAUCACUGUGAUGAACUGAUUGCCGGAAUAGUGGUGAACUGAUGGCUGGUACCAGUGAAGGGAAUAAAGUCAUCACAGUGCUGAACUGAUUACUGGAACCAGUGAAUGGAAUAAAGUCAUCACAGCGGUGAAGUCACUGGUACCUGCAGGGGAUAAAGUCAUCACAGUGUUAAACAAUGCUAGAAGCAGUGAACAGAAUAAAGUCAUUACAGUGGUGAACUAAUAGCUGGUACCAGUGAAGGGAAUAAAGUCAUCACAGCGGUGAAGUCACUGGUACCUGAAGGGGAUAAAGACAACACAGUGUUAAACAAAUGCUAGAAGCAGUGAACGGAAUAAAGUCAUCACAGUGAUGAACUGAUAGCUCGUACCAGUGAAGGGAAUAAAGUCAUCACAGCGGUGAAGUCACUGGUACCUGAAGGGGAUAGUCAUCACAGUGUUAAACAAUUUCUAGAAUCAGUGAAUGGAAUAAAGCCAUCAUAGCGGUGAGUCACUGGUACCUGCAGGGGAUAAAGUCAUCACAGUGUUAAACAAUGCUAGAAGCAGUGAACAGAAUAAAGUCAUUACAGUGGUGAACUAAUAGCUGGUACCAGUGAAGGGAAUAAAGUCAUCACAGCGGUGAAGUCACUGGUACCUGAAGGGGAUAGUCAUCACAGUGUUAAACAAUUUCUAGAAUCAGUGAAUGGAAUAAAGCCAUCAUAGCGGUGAGUCACUGGUACCUGCAGGGGAUAAAGUCAUCACAGUGUUAAACAAUGCUAGAAGCAGUGAACAGAAUAAAGUCAUUACAGUGGUGAACUAAUAGCUGGUACCAGUGAAGGGAAUAAAGUCAUCACAGCGGUGAAGUCACUGGUACCUGAAGGGAAUAGUCAUCACAGUGUUAAACAAUUUCUAGAAUCAGUGAAUGGAAUAAAGCCAUCAUAGCGGUGAGUCACUGGUACCUGCAGGGGAUAAAGUCAUCACAGUGUUAAACAAUGCUAGAAGGAGUGAACAGAAUAAAGUCAUUACAGUGGUGAACUAAUAGCUGGUACCAGUGAAGGGAAUAAAGUCAUCACAGCGGUGAAGUCACUGGUACCUGAAGGGGAUAGUCAUCACAGUGUUAAACAAUUUCUAGAAUCAGUGAAUGGAAUAAAGCCAUCAUAGCGGUGAGUCACUGGUACCUGCAGGGGAUAAAGUCAUCACAGUGUUAAACAAUGCUAGAAGGAGUGAACAGAAUAAAGUCAUUACAGUGGUGAACUAAUAGCUGGUACCAGUGAAGGGAAUAAAGUCAUCACAGCGGUGAAGUCACUGGUACCUGAAGGGGAUAGUCAUCACAGUGUUAAACAAUUUCUAGAAUCAGUGAAUGGAAUAAAGCCAUCAUAGCGGUGAGUCACUGGUACCUGCAGGGGAUAAAGUCAUCACAGUGUUAAACAAUGCUAGAAGGAGUGAACAGAAUAAAGUCAUUACAGUGGUGAACUAAUAGCUGGUACCAGUGAAGGGAAUAAAGUCAUCACAGCGGUGAAGUCACUGGUACCUGAAGGGGAUAGUCAUCACAGUGUUAAACAAUUUCUAGAAUCAGUGAAUGGAAUAAAGCCAUCAUAGCGGUGAGUCACUGGUACCUGCAGGGGAUAAAGUCAUCACAGUGUUAAACAAUGCUAGAAGCAGUGAACAGAAUAAAGUCAUUACAGUGGUGAACUAAUAGCUGGUACCAGUGAAGGGAAUAAAGUCAUCACAGCGGUGAAGUCACUGGUACCUAAAGGGGAUAAAGUCAUCACAGUGUUAAACAAUUGCUAGAAUCAGUGAACGGAAUAAAGUCAUUAUAGUGGUGAACUAAUAGCUGGUACCAGUAAUGGGAACAAAGACAUUACAGUGGUGAACUGAUUGAUGGAACAGUGGUGAACUAAUGACUGGUACCAGUGAACGGAAUAAAGUAAUUACAGUGGUGAACUGAUAGCUGGUACCAGUGAAGGGAAUAAAGUCAUCACAGGGAUGAACUGUAUUCAUUAUUUGUAGUUUCAAGAGUAUGUAAUUGUAGAUGUAUGAGUUAGUUUUAAGUGUUUUAAAUAAAUAAGUGUAAAUUAUAAUAA